CGGGGAGGAGCGUCUCUCUUUCUCUCUCUGAGGCGAGACGGGAUCGGUCAUGCUGGGUGGUUGCUGCUCGGCCCCUGCGCCGGUUGGUUUGGGAGCAGCAGCGGCUUCGUGAUGUAGGCACACAAUGCCCACUGAUGAGCUUUGCCUAGUUGACAAAUACCACUUUACAAGAAGUUGAUACGACAGUUCUUGAAUGUGGAGAAAAUUGGUCUGAAUGAAUAGAAGACUACAGUUUCUGUACAUAUGGCCUGUGUACUAUGAUUUGUACAGAAUUUCUGCAGCUCAAGUUUGGCAGCUUUUCUUCCACCAGAAGAGUGUUCUGGAAGAAAUAUACAGGUAGAUGAGUUUUUAAAAGAUGGAAUUUGGAAAUCUGUAAAUCAUGGUAACAUAUUACUGGUAUGUUCACAAGAAGACUCAAAUAGCUUUUAACUAUAUGUGGCAGUGGUGGGGGAAUGGUCUUGGGUACUAAAAAAUAAAGACUAUAUAUUUAUUUUUAAUUGCUGCGUUUGUUGAAUUUUUCUAAGUACUACCUUCUCAGUUAACUAAAAUAAGUUGUUAUACUGUGGUAAUAAAAUAUUGAUCCUGAUUUACCAGUA